GCGGAGUGGAUGCCGGGCUGGGCUGCUGCGGGGUGGACUCGGAGCUGGUGCGCUGGGAGGUGGAGCCAUGGCGUCUGGAUUCCGGCUUCUUCCUUUUGCCCUUCCUCAUGGAUGGAAGCGGAAAAGGCGUUUUUAAAAGACAAGCCUAAGCUUCACGCUGUGACCGCAACACAGAAUGUGCUCACCUUGGAAUACUCUACCUCUGCCAUAAAUGCAUCAAAAGAGAUUGCCCCAGCGAGCACACCUGGGCUGAGAAAUCUGAUGAAUCUUCAUCCAAACCGGUGUUAAGUGGAGGCUCUAGGAGCGGGCCCGUGACAUGGGGGAUGUGUCCACUCCCCUGGACCAGGACCGCACUCCCUCCAUCCUUGCAGUUUCCACGCACCCCCUCCCCCGACCCCCACCCGCUGUCGGGACCCUCACCAUCCGUCUGGGUCUCCUGAUCCACGAGAAGGACGCUGCCCCGAGCCCUGGCAUUGCGCCCUGUGCUGGCGGCGGGCUGGACGUCCAGGA